rnacentral:rRNA from 1 species
AGAGUUUGAUCAUGGCUCAGAAUCAACGCUGGCGGCGUGCCUAACACAUGCAAGUCGAACGAGAAAGUGGAGCAAUCCAUGAGUAGAGUGGCAAACGGGUGAGUAACGCGUGGGUGACCUGCCUUCGAGUGGGGGGAUAACGUUCCGAAAGGGACGCUAAUACCGCAUGACAUCCUGCCUUUGAAGAGGCGGAGAUCAAAGCUGGGGAUCGCAAGACCUAGCACUCGAUGAGGGGCCCGCGUCUGAUUAGCUAGUUGGUGGGGUAACGGCUCACCAAGGCAACGAUCAGUAUCCGGCCUGAGAGGGCGGACGGACACACUGGGACUGAGACACGGCCCAGACUCCUACGGGAGGCAGCAGUGGGGAAUUGUUCGCAAUGGGCGCAAGCCUGACGACGCAACGCCGCGUGGAGGAUGAAGAUCUUCGGGUCGUAAACUCCUUUCGAUCGAGACGAACAGCCUCUGGGUGAACAAUCCGGAGGUCUGACGGUACCGAGAGAAGAAGCCCCGGCUAACUCCGUGCCAGCAGCCGCGGUAAUACGGGGGGGGCAAGCGUUGUUCGGAAUUACUGGGCGUAAAGGGCUCGUAGGCGGCCAACUAAGUCAGACGUGAAAUCCCUCGGCUUAACCGGGGAACUGCGUCUGAUACUGGAUGGCUUGAGUUUGGGAGAGGGAUGCGGAAUUCCAGGUGUAGCGGUGAAAUGCGUAGAUAUCUGGAGGAACACCGGUGGCGAAGGCGGCAUCCUGGACCAACACUGACGCUGAGUGAGCGAAAGCCAGGGGAGCAAACGGGAUUAGAUACCCUAGUAGUCC